CCCGACUCUGCAGGAGAGAGGAGUCCAAGAGCCAGGGCUGCACACAGGCGAAGCCCCUACCCUGAGCCCUCUGCCUCCCCUGAGGCUGGGCCUCACCAGUAUCUGGCAGCUGUCCCUCGUGGAGGAAGGUGGCAGCCUGAGCAAAAGCCUUGAGUGGCGGGCUGAGCAGGCGGCAGAGGAAGAGGAAGAAGUCAGGGCAGCGUGACUGUUGACUGAGCUGGAGGAAGACAGGCCAGGGUAAGAGCAGCUCCCACUGCCUCCCUCCCCUGGUGGCUUCUCCCAACGUACCCUGAAGUACCGGCCCUCAGCUUCCUCAAAGUCAUCACUGUCACUAUCAGUGAAGUCCCCGCUUGGUUUCCACAGCAGUUUUGCACUCAAAUGCUGCCGCCCUGUGUCACAGGCUGGCCGGGAGCCUGGGGUCUGGGGGAGCCAUUGGUCCCUGUCAGGCCAGCCAAGGUUCAGCCCUGAGCUCCCCCAGACCGGGUACAUGCUGGCCAGGCCUGUGGAGGUGAAACCAGCAAAAGCAGACCUAGGGAGCCCAAGAGGAUACCCCAGGCCACUCAAGACCAUGACACCUGCCAAGCCAACUUGCAGGGUAGAAGCGAGCACUCACCCUCAAGGGCCGUGGCUCACCACCCUCAAGAAAUGUGCAACUAGGAGCCCACACUGGAUGAGACGGUCCAGCACCUCCUGACAGUAGCAGUAGGAAGACUGGCAGGGCUGGGGAGAAAGGCAUCCAUGUGGCCUCAGGAGAGCCAGGCGCUGGGCAGGGGCCUGGCCAGAGGCGAGGCCAGACCAGAUCUACUGGACACCAUAGGGUCAGUGCUCAGGCAAGCACGGGCCCCUCCUACACCCAAGAAGGGGAGGCCUAGGACUGAGCUGGGUUGGCGGGAGAGGCCUGACCUGCAGCAGCAGCAGGUCCUGCGGCAGCAAGUGCAACAGGAGCAGGAUCUGGCGGUACAGCUCCUUCUGGCUCAGCAGCUCGAUGCCUUGCAGCUCGCAGGGCCCCUCAGGCGGCACCCUGCCCGCCAGCAGCCCCCGCACAGCACAGGCUGGGGGAGGAGGGGGCCAGUGGUCAGGAAGAGAAGCCAUUCCCCUCACCCCUACACACAUCCCACCCACCCCAAGCCCUGGGGACUCACCACCCACAGCCUCGCUCAGGAAGGCGGGCAGCAGCCCAGCGCUCAGGCGGGCCAGGUGCAUGAGGCCUGGGCCGGGCCGAGGAACCACCAGCAAGUCCCCCUGAUGGACGCGCAUCAGGGCCACGUGCGCCCGCAGCAGGCUUAGCGUGUGCUGCACCAGGCACCGCAGCUGCCCUGAGAAGCCCACGUCAAAGCCACGCAGCAGUGUCUCCUCUGUCAGCCAGGAGAACUCCCCCAGGAGCUGUGACAGGAGCACGCCCUGGGUGGGCAGUGAGGGGCUGAGCGGGAGGGCCGCACCUCCUCCCCAGCCCCCACCGCACCGUGCCCUACCUUCCGGUGCUUGAACAGCAGCAGCGUCGCCAUGAUGGCCGUGCUCAUCACCGCCGAGCUCGCCACGCAGGCUGGGGCCGGGGGUGGGGGAUGCUGGUCAGGGGCCAAGGCCCAGCAGCCUGGGCCCUCCGUCACCAAGCAGGUCUUUCCAGCCAAGGGCAUACCUCCCCAGCAGCCCCUCAGACACCCCCCCAACUCCACCCCUGGGAAAGGGAGAACAGGCUUGGUCCUUGGGCCCCACCCUCCCCAGUGGAGAACUGGCAUUUAUCAAGUAUAUGUUGAGAGCCAAGCUGGGAGCUCAGGGUCCUUCCCUGCCUCUUGUAGGCCUACUAGCCACCAACCCCACAGCCUCUGCCAUGGAAGGGACACUUAAGAUGGUAGUAAAGCUGUUAAGAGCC